rnacentral:rRNA from 1 species
UACGUAGGGGGCUAGCGUUGUCCGGAAUCAUUGGGCGUAAAGAGCGUGUAGGCGGUCCGGUAAGUCCGUUGUGAAAGUCAGGGGCUCAACCCUUGAAUGCCGGCGGAUACUGUCGGGCUAGAGUCCGGAAGAGGCGAGUGGAAUUCCCGGUGUAGCGGUGAAAUGCGCAGAUAUCGGGAGGAACACCAGUGGCGAAGGCGGCUUCCUGGCCUGUUCUUGACGCUGAGGCGCGAAAGCUAGGGGAGCAAACGGG